rnacentral:rRNA from 1 species
UACAGGGGUCCCAAGCGUUGUUCGGAUUUACUGGGCGUAAAGGGUGCGUAGGUGGUUGGGUAAGUCUGAUGUGAAAUCUCCGGGCUCAACCCGGAAAUGGCAUUGGAUACUAUUCGACUAGAGGGUUGGAGGGGGGACUGGAAUACUUGGUGUAGCAGUGAAAUGCGUAGAUAUCAAGUGGAACACCAGUGGCGAAGGCGAGUCCCUGGACAACUCCUGACACUGAGGCACGAAAGCUAGGGGAGCAAACAGG